rnacentral:tRNA from 1 species
UCCUGGUGGCUCAGAUGGUAAAGCAUCUGCCUACAGUGCGGGAGAUCCAGGUUCAAUCCCUGGGUCAGGAA